rnacentral:lncRNA from 1 species
GGCCAACCACAGUUUUAUCAAGGGUAAACGGAAUCUUCCCCCUUUACCCUCAAUCCCUCCUCCCCCCCUACCCUCCUGUCCACCACCUGGAGUCUGUAGAAGGGCAACCGGAAGAGUUCGAGACUCCAUUAACAGGAAGUCUUACGAGUUUGAAGAUCUUCUACAGUCUGCAGCAGAAGGAUGUCGAACAGAUUUGUACGAGCUUUCUAAGCUU